UACGGGGGGGGCAAGCGUUGUUCGGAAUUACUGGGCGUAAAGGGCUCGUAGGCGGCCAACUAAGUCAGACGUGAAAUCCCUCGGCUUAACCGGGGAACUGCGUCUGAUACUGGAUGGCUUGAAUCCGGGAGAGGGAUGCGGAAUUCCAGGUGUAGCGGUGAAAUGCGUAGAUAUCUGGAGGAACACCGGUGGCGAAGGCGGCCCUCUGGACCGAGCACUGACGCUGAGGCACGAAAGCGUGGGGAGCAAAGCAGG
rnacentral:rRNA from 1 species